CUGGGUGAAGUGCUGUGGUCAGAUGAGACCAAAAUCGGGCUCUUUGGCAUCAACUCACCGUGUUUGGAGGAGGAGGAAUGCUGCCUAUGACCCCAAGAACACCAUCCCCAUCGUCAAACAUGGAGGUGGAGACAUUAUGCUUUGCGGGUGUUUUUCUGCUAAGUGACAGGACAACUGCACCACAUUAAUGGAAAGAUGGAAGGGACCAUAUGCCAUCAAAUCUUGGGUGAGAACCUCCUUCACUCAGCCAGGACAUUGAAAAUGAGUAUUCCAGCAUGACAAUGACCCAAAACACACAGCCAAGGCAACAAAGGAGUGGCUCAAGAAGAAAAACAUUAAGGUCCUGGAGUGACCUAGCCAGUCUCCAGACCUUAAUCCCAUAGAAAAUCUGUGGAGGGAGCUGAAGGUUCAAGUUGCCAAACGUCAGCCUCGAAACCUUAAUGACUUGAAAAGGAUCUGCAAAGAGGAGUGGGACAAAAUCCCUUCUGAGAUGUGUGCAAACCUGGUGACCAACUACAAGAAACGUCUGACCUCUGAUAGCCAACAAGGGUUUUGCCACCAAGUCGAAGGGGUUUAAAUACUUAAUUCACUAAUUGACCAUGCAAAUCAAUUUAUAAUUUUUUGAAUUGUGUUUUUCU